rnacentral:misc_RNA from 1 species
UCACACAUGUUGAGAGCUACCCUCACUAUAUCAUAUUAAAGAGAAGAUCACUACGUAGAGCACAACACCACAUAACAGAAUUCAUCUCUACACAUAUUAUCCUCCACCAUAUUCCAGAGUCCAUCACCAUAUAGAGCAUACAUCACACACCAUCACCCGCAUCUCCCAUAACUACAUCACAACAACAGGAAUCAGCAAACUCAGAUUCAU